UGGGGAAUAUUGGGCAAUGGGCGCAAGCCUGACCCAGCAACGCCGCGUGAAGGAAGAAGGUCUUCGGAUUGUAAACUUUUGUCUUAUGGGACGAUAAUGACGGUACCAUAGGAGGAAGUCACGACUAACUACGUGCCAGCAGUCGCGGUAAUACGUAGGUGGCAAGCGUUAUCCGGAAUUAUUGGGUGUAAAGGGUGCGUAGGCGGGAUGUAAAGUCAGAUGUGAAAUGCCGCAGCUUAACUGCGGAGCUGCAUUUGAAACUUAUGUUCUUGAGUGAAGUAGAGGCAAGCGGAAUUCCUAGUGUAGCGGUGGAAUGCGUAGAUAUUAGGAGGAACACCGGUGGCGAAGGCGGCUUGCUGGGCUUUUACUGACGCUGAGGCACGAAAGUGUGGGGAGCAAACAGG
rnacentral:rRNA from 1 species